rnacentral:rRNA from 1 species
AAUGAACGCUGGCGGUAGGCCUAACACAUGCAAGUCGAACGGCAGCCAAGUAAAAGCUUGCUCUUACGGGUGACGCGUGGCGAACUGGUGAGGAAUACAUCGGAAUCUACUUUUUCGUGGAGGAUUAUGUAAGGAGACUUACGCUAAUAACGCUUACGACCUACGGGUUAAAGCAGGGGGUCUUCGCACCUUGCGCGGUUGAAUGAGCCGAGGUCGGAUUAGCUAGUUGGGGGGGUAAAGGCCCACCAAGGAGACGAUCCGUAGCUGGUCUGAGAGGCUGAUCAGCCACACUGUAACUGAGACACGGCCCAGACUCCUACGGGAGGCCGCAGUGGGGAAUAUUGGACAAUGGGCGAAAGCCUGAUCCAGCCAUACCGCGUGGGUGAAGAAGGCCUUCGGGUUGUAAAGUCCUUUUGUUGUGAAAGAAAAGCAGCAGGUUAAUACCUCGAUGUUAUGACGGUACCCAAAGAAUAAGCACCGGCUAACUUCGUG